UUGCUUCAGCAGCACAUAUACUAACAUUGGAAUGAUACCAAGAACAUUAGUGUGGCCCAUCAUGCAAGGAUGAAUGCAAAAAUGAAGCAUAGUUUACAAGUUAU
rnacentral:snRNA from 1 species